UUAUGUUGGCGUGGAUGUAAAGUCCUGCAGUGUUCUCCGCUGUUAAUAAAGCCAUUAAAGUGCAUCGGCGACGUGAGUCUCUCCUUCCCCACAACAAGCGGCAUUACGGUAUUGACCAGUGCACACCAGGAAAUAAACGGUGUCAUUUCUUACAGGCAUUGGCUGGACAGCUAUGUAGUGGGGCUUGUUUAACCUUUGCCUUGUGGGCAAGCAGGAAGGAGAGACGAUGCUGAGAGAUGUGUGUGUGUUCUGAGCUGCUGUCUGGUGGCCGCGUUCAAUAAAUAAAGUUGGCAGAAGCAACAGGAGAAGUUUCCUUCUUUGCUUCGGAGCUGAAUAACACUGACAAGUUAACAGACUAGUAGCGAACGGAAAAGAAGACUGCUUUUUUUUUGUGUCGAAUACAGAAGAUGAGGACUUUGAUGGAUUUGUGGAUGAGGAUUGAUGAAAAAUAACGGCCAGCCGAAGCCUCCAAAGAUGUAAGAUCCCUUGGCAGACGAUGAGAAAAGAAGGAACUAUGGCGGCGUGUACGUGGGUCUCCCUGCAGACCUGACCACGGUGGCUGCCAGUCAAUCCAAGCCCACCAGAAAAGACUAGCAGUCCGUGACGUCGACAAUAUCACAAGGCGUCGCGCGUAUUCACCUUGAGGACGCCCCCUAUGGACUCCACCUGGGAUGCACGCUGACUCAAGUGGUCUCUGAAGACUCCUGAACUCAUGGAAGACGUAGUGACUCUGAGUGGAGCUCUUCGGACGUCAUCCAUAAUCACCUUUCACCAUGCAAAAAAAAAAAAGACAAGGGGCCUCUAGGGGAAUACAUGACAGCAGCAGGCAGUGCCGUGUUGUGUCGUGACGGCCUUUUUGGCUCACCGGUAACAGUGCUGAAACGUCGCCUUUGUCAAGGCGAGGGACGCCGCUAAUGUACUUUGUCUGGUCACAAGCCAUCAGUGUUUGUUCUUACUGUGAGUCAGACCUCGCAGCGACUCUGGAGGUCCUUCGCGACAUUGAGAACACCUGCACACUCCAAUAUUAUUUUAUUUCACUAUUAAACUGUUGCUAUAUUUAUUAUAAUUAUACAUUAUAUAUAUCUAUAUAUCUAAAACAAUUAUAACAUCCUUUCGUUUCAUGUUUUCAAAACUAUAUUCUUUUCUGAUUGGCUGGGAGAAAUCACAUGGUUCCACUGCCUUGUAGCGUUAGUUAGAUAGUAGGAAUAUGCAAAAAAAGACAGUUUUCCACAAAAUAUGGAUAAAAAUGUGGCCAAUUUUCCCUUUUUUGCCAUUAGAAUCACAAUUGAAUCUUUCCUGCGCCCUAAAAUGGGUAGCGUGCUGUCUGUGUUAGCUAGUUUGCUAACAACCGCACAGACAGACCUACAGUAAAUACAGGUGGUCCUUGGUUUAUGAUGUUUGGUAGUCACAAACGCGCUCCCAUUAUUUAACUAAAGCUUAAUUUUGGUGCUAAAACACAACACUCGCUGUAGAAAUAGAGGCGUGGCUUGCAACAACGGAGAAGGAAGAGGGCGGAAUAAAAAUAAUAACAAAACAACAGAAGAAUUGGAAAAAUAGCUGGAAUUGUAUGAGAACAGAAGAAAAAUGACGUCAUUUUAGUAGCAUUGAGCUGAAAUAUUAAAGAAAGAAUUAAAGAAAUAUUAACUAAUAAAUAAAUAAUGAUAAAUAAAAUACUUCUUACCAUUAAUGCGACUUCUGGUGCUGUAUGGUUUUGCACCGUACUCCGUAUUUUUCUUUCUUUUUGCCAUCUUCUUUGUCAAAAGGGUUGGCUCUGCAGAAUUAGCUUGCUGACCAUUUGAUUAAAGAAGGGAAGUUUGCUUUAUGACUUCUCAAUAACCCGGGCAUUAUCCAGUAAUAGUCAAGUUUUGGUGUCUGACACGGAAAAUAUCGGAAGGACAGUUGGCUUUGGCUCUGGACACCCACAUGGCGCUACAAAAUGGAUGGAUGGAUUAAAAUGCAUAAGAAAAUGUUAUGUUUUGAACGUGUGAUUUCUGUUAUGAUUUGCUUAAAAAUGUCAGCGGAAAAAUAAAUAUAUAAAUAAAUAAAAAUAAACAAAUUUGCAUGUCUGAGAGCCAGAUGCAGUCAUCGAAAGAGCCACAUCUGGCUCCCGAGCCAUAGGUUUCCUACCCCUGUCUUACGUCAUUCUCUACAAACCAGGAAGUAGCCUGCUAUUCACAUUUUAUGUGAAUAAUGUGCAACCAACACUUCAGGUUGAAUUAACAGGAGGUAACCUUUUCUGCUCUCAUUUUCAAUAUUCAAUACAUUUUCAGUAGAAGUACAGUAAGUGUAAUAAGAGCUGACGUUAGCUUGCGCUGCUGCUGUAGCGGGAACGAGAGAUGCCUGGACAGUCAGUGUUGUGUGAAAUCCCAUGACGCCUGAGAUUUGAUGUGUUGCUGUGGUAUGUUCAGCGAGCGAUUUAUUUAGAACAUCUCCCUCUUUGAAAAAGCCAAAGUUUUUACACACACUGGACCGAAAUGCUGGCUUAAUUAUUUGUCGCUCCCCGGCUUGUCGUCUGCCGUCCGCCAUGCUAUGUUUUGUUCAAAUCAAAUCAAAUGAAAGUUUAUUUGUAUAGCACCUUACAACAUCCCAAUGGUGUCCAAGGUGCUUCACAAGAGUAAAAACAAGUUAUAGCAAAUAAGAACAGGGUAAGAUCGAAUAAGAUAUAAUAAAAACAACUACAGUAAAACAAAAUAAAAAUACAGGCACAGAAUCAAUCUAAAAUACAUAUAAUCAUCAUGUGUCAAAAGCCAGUCUGAAUAAAUUAGUUUCCGAAUGAGAUUUAAAAAGGGAUAACUCUGUAAUAGACCGUAGAGCAGGUGGAAGGGAGUUCCAAAGUGUGGGAGCAAACGCGCAAAAUUGCGAUCCUCCCGUUUUUUGUACUUCAUGUCCGGGACUUCUAAUGUUGUGUGUUGAGAACAGCGCAGGGCCCUGGAGUGGUGACGGGCCGUUAAAAGCUCAGCCGAGUAUGCUGGAGCAAGGCCAUUAAUGGCCUUGAACACAAAUAAAAGGACUUUAAAAUGGAUAGUGAAAUGUGUGCCCCAGGGUUCCAAGGAUGGAACCCUGGGGCACGCCAGAGGAGAGGGGAGCAGUUGUAGAGGAAAAGUCAUUGAUCAUUACUAAUGUAAUAGUCCCGUUGGUGAGAUAUGACAUGAACCAUUUAAGCAUAGACCCACGUAGGCCAACACAGGCGGGAGAUGAUGACUGAGUGGUCCACAGUAUCAAAAGCACUAGCACAACAGAGUUUUUAGCAUCAAGGACUGUGAGGAUGUACUUUCAAUAAUGCGGAUUCUGUGCUGUGACGGGUUCUAAAGCCCGAUUGAAAUUUGUUAACAAUAUUAUGGAUAGACAAACAUGACUGGAGUUGUGAGAGGACAAGUUUCUCCAUGACCUUGGACAGAAAGGGCAGAUGUGAGAUUGGACGGAAGUUGGACAGACUUGAUGGGUCUAGAUUCGGUUAUUUAAGAAGUGGUCUAACUACAGCUUGCUUAAGGGCAGUGGGGACAAUACCCAGCCUGAAACAGCUGUUCAUAAAAAGAACAAGGCUGGGACCAACGGUAUCUAUAACCUCCUUCAUUAUGCUUGCAGAGAUAACGUCUAGAGGGCAGUUGGUGGGGUUUAACUGUUGGACUGAUAUUUUAAGAAGAGAAGUGGAGAUUGGCUCAAAGUUCUCAAAAGUUUGUUUUACAGGGGAGUCAGGCGGCCAGCGGUUGAGACCUUGAGUUGUUGUCUGCUGGUGCAUGGCGAUGACAUCACAGACAGGCAAACUGAUCCAAUGCUUUAUUUCUUAGUAUUGAUGCAAUCGAUUGAUUUCCUUGCUACCUCGAUAUAUGUCAUCUGGAAUGGCAACUUGCGGAACACAGAUAGAUGUAGUCGGAUCAUAGGAAUAUAAAUGGAUACAUCGAUGUAGUAGAUGAAUCGUUACACCCCUAGAAACUACACAUUGCAAGAUUGAUGCCUGGUCCAAGCUGCUGAACCAUCAGGAAGGAUAAACAUGGUAUCUUUGAACAUGUAAAAGGAUCUGCUCCUAUGAAAUGGACAGUGAUAACUCAGCAGUGUAGUGGCCGCCUUACUGAGACUUCCUUCUUCCAAUAAGCCUGUCUCCCUCCCUUGCAACGCCCUUCCGGUGUGCAAAACCAAAGUAAGGAAUUGUUCUUGUUUUUUAUAAUGGUUUUAUUUCAUUCUUGUAUUUGAUCUUUUUAUUACUGUAUUUUAUGUGUCCUUCAUGUGUACAGCGUGUCUGACUUGGGAGUUCAUUUCGGUAUAAGUUCCCACUUACUCUAAAACUCGACUGACGUCACAAUCAUCUAGGAAUGGAACUCACACAUAACCCGAGAACCGCCUGUACUCACUUUGUGGCGCUUGAGUCACAACAGAACAAUUUCCCCCGUCCCUAAAUGAAAAAAUUAUACAGUCUUUUCAUUUGACGUCAUCCUACAUGGACCAGGAAAUGGUCUGCUAGCAAACAAUGAAACGAGAAGUAGUCAGGUAUCUAGUCAACGACAAACAUAAACACUAGAAUAAUUUAUUCCCCCUCAUCUGUGUCACAAUGGAACCGUUACGCUCCGACCAAAACCCACAAAUGUUACGCUUUACGUAAUUUUCCAUGAACUAGGAAGUGGCUUGCUAACACACCUUGGCAGAGGUCUGUACUCUACUGAGUGUCAUUCUUGUGUUUUUUUUUUUUGUACCUGAUUUCGACUGCUGUCUCUCCUUGUUUCAUCUUCCUCAUGGCCUUUCACUGGAAGACAGCUCCUGCUGUCCACGAUGAAUGUCACCGCCUUUGGCGCCUACGCACAAGGGAACAGCAGAAUGUGGAUGCGAGUCACAGUCUGGCAUCUUUUUUUUUUUACUGGUGUUUAUUUUUAUGCUUCAUUUACAUACCACAAUAGUCUCAGAGCGUUGUCAUAUAUUUCAUUCAAUUAAGUUUUUUUCAUUAUUAUUAUUUUAAAGUUAUGUUUGUCCUGCUUGUUCUCACAAAAAGAAUGGCAGAUUUUGUAAAAAAAAAAAAGAAAAAAAGGUUUGCAUUAAACCAAGUAAAAAACUGAUAUAUUUUCUUGGGUUAUGAAUUAUGAAUAUGCUAUCUACAAACUCUAUCUGUUGGUAAUGGUAUAGUUUAAUCAAACUGGCUCACUCCAAGGGCAAAAACCAGAGAAGCAACUCAGCAAUGCUGUUAAUGUGACGUAGUGAGGAGUGCAAUGGGCCAUACCUCGGAGAGACCAAGCAACCCUAAUAUAAACGCAUUUACAACAUGGGGGUGCAGUUUCUUACCCCAGGUCAGUAGUUCAUUCACAUCGCAAAAAGAAAAGACAUUCAUUUGACGUAAAAAAAGAACAAAUCAAAUUGAACGAAAACCCAGGCACCACUGUACCAGGUUACCAACAUUCUAAUAUCAAAAGAAAAGGAUAAAAAUGAGUAAUGCAGUAAUCCCUCGUUUGUUGCGGUUAAUUGGUUUCAGACCCGACGUGAUAAGUGAAUUUCCACAAAGGAGUUUUCCUUUUUUAUAAGUGGAAUAUUUUUGGAAUAUAGAAAACCUGUUUAAGAUCUUCUAAAUACGGUUUUUAACAUUAUUGGUGCCCUCUAGGCAUGAAAUAACACCACUAUAGUCAACUUUACAAUCCUAUUACCCAAUAUAGUAGUACUAAUAAGAUAAAAAUAAGACAUAAAUAAGACACACAUGUUAGCAUUGGAUGAGUUCCUUGUCGUUGUUCCUUUUUCACUUCCUGUUCCGUACAGUACUUUCUGCAGUGGCUAUUGUCUCAUCAAUGUAACAUUGCUGACACCAAGUGACCAGUGUAGAAUCCUACAUAUCAUCACAUCUUUUAAUGUGUAAUACAUGUAAUAUUCAACAGCAAAACAGAAUUAAUAUAUUUCUGAAAAGCCAUGAUGGAGUGAAGCUGCAAAAUUUGAAGCACAAUGUGGUCAGGGAUUCAACUAGUAGUAUGACG